UACAGUCUGUGUCCUUCUUGGGUAAAAGUGAUGGGAAAGCAAGGAUGCCUUCUUCACUGUCAUUGUCCCCGUCCGAGUACUCCAAGGACCUAACAGGGGGCCAGAGACACAGAAUGAAAGACACUCGGCUUCCAAUCAGCCUAACCAGGAACCCUUCCACUAUCUGCUUGAUCCAACCGGAGGAAAUUCGCUGGUGUUUCAUGAUUUUCCUUCACAAUAAGCUGUGAGCAAGCUGCAGAGGAAACUAGCCAAGUCAGAGCAGAAAGGAAACUGCCUCGCACCUUCGUCAGCUUCCUGUUGCAUCCAACUGAUAGCAGAAAGGAGAGGAUGUGAUGUGAUAGAAAAGCAAUGGAGAGAAGCAUAGACAUUGAGGACGUCACCGUCAGCCUGUCGUCUUCAUCCUUUUCUGAAUUCUGCGUAGAUUUCAGCCCUAGAGGAUGAAGUAAAAAGGGGUAGGAAGAACUGAUUCGGACUUUUCUCCUGGUAAUUAAUGAUCACUAUCGCAGUUGGCCAGCCUCUCUGCCGUGGGCUUUACAUGAAUUCUCCCAUCCAAUCUUUACGCCAAUCCGAGUCUUACGAAUGAGAACACUAAGGCUUAGAAUAACGUCAAACAGAGAAGAAGUAUUAGAGCCUGGAAGGAACCCAGGGUGGAGCAGCAGUGAGUGAAAUCAGGUGGGUGAUUUGAGAGGCUAAACAAAAGUCCACGGUAUCCAAGAAAGAUGAUGGCAGAGGAAACAUCAGUUUUUGAAGACUCAGCUUGCCUGAAAACAUGGUGGUGUAUUAAAGAAUACAUGUGACCGCUGAACAGACCAUCAAUCUAAUUAAGAACAGUUAAUAUCACAACAGAAAGAAAGAGAAAGAAAGAUGAUUGAAUCCCUUCUUAGUCUCUUAAUAGAGCCUUGUGAAGCCUUUCUGGAAGCUGGAGACUAACACUCUGGAGACCAAAAAAACUAAGCAAUUUUGUCAACAACUAGAGAAUGACUUGACUUUAAAACAAAAUGUUUGAAAACUAUGUCUUCCUUAACUGCCAAGACUGAGUUUGGUUUCUGGAUUUCCUUUGUAAGGACACCUGAUAUCACUUGCCUGAAAGCUUUUUAUAAUGUUGCUUGGAUUGUACCAAAUAUCUUGGAUGCUGUCUAUCAGCGCCUUACAUUGCAAUCCAGUAUUUCAAAUAUUGCAAAUCCGAACAUUUAGAUGUAGGCAAGGAAGAAGUUUCCCUCCCCAAAUCUGUUAACUUGUAUGUCCAUGGAGAUAUUCUAAUAAUGAUUUUAGAUAGAUCUGACUCUGUAAAUUAAUUCUCUACAAAGUGAUGAGCUACAUCUGAAUCAUUGUGCAAUGAUAUCAAGCUCUUUUGCAGAUGUUGUAAUGGUAAAAAUACUUGUAAAGAAUAAAAGUUUGGGUGAGGCUAGUGCUUUUGUUUUCAAAGCAGGUUCAAAUAAAUCAUUUGAAAGGA